rnacentral:lncRNA from 1 species
AUCACAUCUUUUGGCCAAGUUUCAUGAAAAUCGGUGACAAUGCGUGCCGGCCCCUCUACAUAAAAUGGUUGGUGGUUACAGAGAAUUGCUCUUAAAGAAAUAGUGUUUAUCUGUUAGGUUUGUUAUUUAGCUGACAAUUGAUUACAAUAUGCAGUGAUCAUGGCAAUCAGAAAACAUACAAAAAAACAGUAUUUGAAUAAUGAUACUCAGACACUUUAUGCAUGAAACUAGCGGUAAAAAUGAGAUUGAAAUAAUCACAAUUUUACCAAAACCAUUGUCAAUCAUGCAUAUUUUGAAGCAAUGAAUCGUAAAUCAUUUGUUACAUCACUUCAGACCAAAAACAAUCCAAAAAAUAAUAAUAAUAAAAAAAAUAGACAUGCACUGACAAGUUUUUGAAAAUAACCCAUACAGAUGACAGAUUUGGGGAUCCGUAGUUCCAAGUUUAAGGUCACACACAC